rnacentral:lncRNA from 1 species
CAUUAUCGAACAAAAUUUUCAUUGUCAAUGGCCUAGAGAUUUGAAUCAAUGUCGAAAUCCAACCCUAGAUUGAAAGAUGGAGGUUCAUAAUCUGCUAUUACAAUACACAUAUACAAGAAGAAACCAGAGAAUAGAAUAGACUCAGCGUGAGUUUGAUUGCCUACGCCUUCAAGAGCCAGAUCUGUUGCUCCUAACAUCAACAAAUUCGCACACAACAAAGACUCCAUUAAGUAGAGGUAAUAAUUCAAAGAGAAACAACAUGAUGCUUCAAAUGUGAAAUCUCUAGUCCUCUUUGUGCAAAAUAGAAUUCCAAGAUCGGUUCUGUGGAAGGAAUGUAUCCUCCAUGGUGAAUGAUACAUUAGUUCAGCCUUACAACAUCAAUGUCAAAAUUUGAAAUAGGAUAAAUUGAGGCUGACAAUGAAGGUUCAAAAUCUGCUAUUGAU